GACGAACGCUGGCGGCGUGCUUAACACAUGCAAGUCGAACGGUAAGGCCCUUCGGGGUACACGAGUGGCGAACGGGUGAGUAACACGUGGGUGAUCUGCCCUGCACUUCGGGAUGAGCCUGGGAAACUGGGUCUAAUACCGGAUAGGACCCUGGGAUGCAUGUCCUGGGGUGGAAAGCUUUUGCGGUGUGGGAUGGGCCCGCGGCCUAUCAGCUUGUUGGUGGGGUGAUGGCCUACCAAGGCGACGACGGGUAGCCGGCCUGAGAGGGUGACCGGCCACACUGGGACUGGGAUACGGCCCAGACUCCUACGGGAGGCAGCAGUGGGGAAUAUUGCACAAUGGGCGCAAGCCUGAUGCAGCGACGCCGCGUGAGGGAUGACGGCCUUCGGGUUGUAAACCUCUUUCAGCACCGACGAAGCGCAAGUGACGGUAGGUGCAGAAGAAGGACCGGCCAACUACGUGCCAGCAGCCGCAGUAA
rnacentral:rRNA from 1 species